rnacentral:misc_RNA from 1 species
AAGUCGUAACAAGGUUUCCGUAGGUGAACCUGCGGAAGGAUCAUUACUGAGAUGGGGUCCUUCGGGCCGACCGUCCAACCAAGUGUCUACCGUCCUUGUUGCUUCGGCGGCGCCGCUCUCGGCUACUGACCCAGAGAUGGGACAUUUCGCAGACCGUCGGCUCCUUUUACGGGGCUUUCGAGUGCCGCCGGGGCAUUAAGACACAAACUCUUUGACGACCCGAUUCUUAACUAUUUGAUUUUAAUAACUUCAAA